rnacentral:rRNA from 1 species
UACGUAGGGGGCGAGCGUUGUCCGGAAUUAUUGGGCGUAAAGAGCGUGUAGGCGGUUCUGUAAGUCUGCUGUGAAAUCCUGGGGCUCAACCCUGGGCGUGCAGCUGAGACUGCCGGGCUAGAGGGUGGUAGAGGCGAGUGGAAUUCCUAGUGUAGCGGUGAAAUGCGCAGAUAUUCGGAGGAACACCAGUGGCGAAGGCGGCUCGCUGGGCCACACCUGACGCUGAGACGCGAAAGCGUGGGGAGCGAACAGG